rnacentral:lncRNA from 1 species
CUGGCUGUGUUGGAUAGAGUUAGUUGACUUGGAGGGAGUUUUGAAUAGUUGUCUGGUGAAGGUUUGUAAUAGAGUUAUUGCAAUCUUUAUGACUUAGAGUUAAGUACAUUUGAGUUUGUAAUCAGAGUUGAUUUGAUCAUAGUAGAGCUUGAGAAAGUUUAUGAGGACAGGUCGUGGUUUUUCCUCCCUUGAGCUGGGAGGUUUCCACUUAAAAUUUAUUUGUGUUGAUUUUCUACUUUCCAUUUUACUAUUCCUUAUUAACUCUUAGGUACCUAGUCCCUCAGUGGUGGUGAAUCCCUACAUUUCAGUAAUUGGUAUCAGAGCGAGGUUCAUUCUAAAUGGUUAACACCUAGAAUAGAUCCUUGAUUAUGGAUACACU